GGUUCGGUGGCGGAAUAGGUAUACGCGCAGCACUUAAAAUGCUGUGGUGACAACACCUUGAGGGUCCGAGUCCCUCCCGAACCACAA
rnacentral:tRNA from 1 species